CCCUUAGAUGUUCUGGGCAGCACGCGCGCUACAAUGGUCUUCGCAAACGGAUGCAUUCUCGAAGGAGAAUGCCAAUCUUGGAAUCUAUGCCUUGGUCGGGACAGUUGCUUGCAAUUUUUCGACUCGAACCAGGAAUUCCUUGUAAUCGUGAUUCAUCACAUCACGAUGAAUACGUCCCUGCCCUUUGAACACACCGCCCGUCGCUCCUACCGAUCGAAGAGUUAGGUGAAUUGUUUUGAUCGAUAAGAUUUGACUAUGGUCAACUCUCGUUGUGAAAUUCUGUGAAUCUGACUGUUUAGAGGAAGGAAAAGUCGUAACA
rnacentral:rRNA from 1 species